rnacentral:rRNA from 1 species
GACGAACGCUGGCGGCGUGCCUAAUACAUGCAAGUUAAGCGCUGAAGGUUGGUACUUGUACCGACUGGAUGAGCAGCGAACGGGUGAGUAACGCGUGGGGAAUCUGCCUUUGAGCGGGGGACAACAUUUGGAAACGAAUGCUAAUACCGCAUAAAAACUUUAAACACAAGUUUUAAGUUUGAAAGAUGCAAUUGCAUCACUCAAAGAUGAUCCCGCGUUGUAUUAGCUAGUUGGUGAGGUAAAGGCUCACCAAGGCGAUGAUACAUAGCCGACCUGAGAGGGUGAUCGGCCACAUUGGGACUGAGACACGGCCCAAACUCCUACGGGAGGCAGCAGUAGGGAAUCUUCGGCAAUGGACGAAAGUCUGACCGAGCAACGCCGCGUGAGUGAAGAAGGUUUUCGGAUCGUAAAACUCUGUUGGUAGAGAAGAACGUUGGUGAGAGUGGAAAGCUCAUCAAGUGACGGUAACUACCCAGAAAGGGACGGCUAACUACGUG